UUUGGUACUUCGUCGAUUUGA
rnacentral:miRNA from 1 species